rnacentral:rRNA from 2 species
UACAGAGGUCUCAAGCGUUGUUCGGAUUCACUGGGCGUAAAGGGUGCGUAGGCGGGUCUUUAAGUCAGGGGUGAAAUCCUGGAGCUCAACUCCAGAACUGCCUUUGAUACUGAAGAUCUUGAGUUCGGGAGAGGUGAGUGGAACUGCGAGUGUAGAGGUGAAAUUCGUAGAUAUUCGCAAGAACACCAGUGGCGAAGGCGGCUCACUGGCCCGAUACUGACGCUGAGGCACGAAAGCGUGGGGAGCAAACAGG